CCUCACCCUGGAAGGCCCGAGAGAAGCACAGAGAAGAGAAAUGGGAUUCGUGUUAAGGCCCGAAAUGACAGGUUCAUCCUUGGUUGUGCUGGUCGAUGCCCAACAAUCUUGUGCCAGAACGUUAAAAAAAAAAAAAAAAACAACCGUUGUGUGCCAAUAUCUUCAUACUGAUAUAGAACUUUUACCUCCUUAUUAGUACAUGGUCAUAGGAUGCUAGGGUGCGACAAAUGAACGAGUUUACAGUACCCACAACUGUCUAAUCAGAAUGAUUUAAAAGCCCCCGGAACAAGAUAGACUCAAGACAACUAUAUCAGCUGACCCAUCACACAUGCUUUCUCUGCUCAACAGGGAAGACACCUGCCCUGAGCAGGAGCCCACACACAGGAAAGCUCAACUCUGACCACACCGGACUGAGGAGGCUGACCCAGUGAAAAGGACCCCAAAUCUGCUAGCUGUGGAUCUCUCGAAAAGAAAGGGAUGUGGCAAAAUACUGGAAGGACUGGGAGGGGAGCACACAGAGGGAUGCGUGAAACACUCCAGCGUGGCUCGAGAAGAUGGCUUUGCGAAGUCACAGACUGCAUGUGGGAAGAACCCACCUAGGAGCAAGAAGGGCUCCAAAUGGAUCACCAAGUACCUACGACUCAGUAUGUGCUACGAAUGAGAGGUGGACUGCAGCAUGAAAAGCUUUAUAAUGAUGGAGACAGUUUAGCAGGUGUCUGAUAAAAUGUGCCUGGACAGGAAAAACCUACAUGGACCUAAUUUUUUUUGGAGAUUUUUUUUUUUUAAUAAUGGUUUCUUGAGUCACUAUGUACUCAGGUUUGAGCCGAUUUUCUUCAAUCUCCUGGGAAUUACCCAAACUGACCCCCGAGGAUAGAAAAAGUAACAAUGAGCAGACGGGGAAAGCUCUCAAGGGAGCCAACGGUCCCUGGAACAAGCGAGCGACACAGGCACACUCUGGAGGGAAGGCCCCCUGGGGCCGCGCACACGGUUCCCCAGCACAAGAAGGAGCAAACCGCUUCCCCGAUCUUGAUGUGAGGCCGGCAUCCUGUCAUCACCCAGACCCUGCCGAUCGGCCCAGUGUGAGAGGCGGCCCUGGGUCUGGGUCAAUGCCAGACCUCAAGACAGUACAGCAGGGUCCAGAGCCAUGUGCUACCCACAAGCAGAACCCGUCGAGGAGUCUACUGCAGUUCACACAGUCGUUUCCACGAGCGCUGAAAACAAAUUCGAGGAGACAGAACACUUCCUUCUAACGAAGGCUUUAAAAAAUGACGAUCCGUUUUUACCAAUACUUCACUUGUUUAAAAACAGACACAAUUAGGGGCACCUGGGUGGCUCAGGUCACGAUCCCGAGGUUUGUGAGUUUGAGGCCCGCGUCAGGCUCUCUGCCAGAGCCCGCUGGGACCCUCCGUCCCCCUCCCCCGCUUGCACCCUCUCAAAAAUAAACAUUAAAAAAAAAAAAAAAAACCAGACCUGAUUAGAUAAAAGAAAAAAUGAGAAGGGGACAAAUUAGAGAUGACAGCCAAAGAUAAUUCAGUAAUAACUCAGAAUCAAAUGAAAUUAAUACGUCAAAAUCAAUAGCUGUCUUAAAACCAACCACUGGUUUUAAAAAUGUAAUCAAAGAAAAGAUCCCACUUAAGAGAGCAAUUAACUCUCUCAACUUGGAUCUCUACCAUAUACACUGCAUCAAAAUAAAUUACAGGUGGCUCAAAGAGUUCAUCAUAAUUAACGGCCAAGAAUAUUCAGGAUAGGGAAGGCCCUUCUAAACAAAUAAACCCAGAAGUCAAAAAUAUUGAUAAAAGUAUUGAAAUUUUUCCCACAGAGGGGGGAAAAAAUCAAAGUCGAGGCAAAUGAUAAACUGGGGAAAAUGUAUGCAUCAGAGAGGAAUGGCUAAUUUCUUGUAAAAAAAAAAAAUUCCUUCAAAUUGAAAGUAAAGAUGGGCAACCCAAAAUUAAAAUAAAAGCUAAGAAAAAACAGGAAAUUACUAAUGGCUUUUAAACAUGUGUGAGAUGUGUUCACUGGUAAUGAGAGAAAUUAAGAACUAGAACUACAGUUCGAUACCACCGGUUACCUGUCUACCCAGCAGAGAUCAAGUUUGGUAAUCCACCCCGUGAGACCCUCCACGCUGGAGAGACCUGGAUAGAUACACACUUACACACGCCCGAUGUGAGCACAGACCCCUCUUCGGGGAGUGUUCUGGCAAUAUCCAGCAACAAUAUACUUCGCUUCUGACCCAGCAGUUUUGCUGCUAGGAAUUUUAUCUAGGCUGUACCUAAUAUACAUAUACAAAUACACAUGGCCACACAAGGCCAUUAGCACGGUUUUUAGAAGAUGGGGUUUCUGUUUCAGACGAUCUCCUGACCCUCCCACUGAAAGUCACUUAAUACGGCCGGAUAAAUUACACCCCUGAAAAUGCACUGCUCGGUGUCUCAGUUGCCGGCAUGCAUGUGGGGUGGGGUGAGUCUGUUGCCAGGUGCCAACUUCAGGAACUACGGGUAGGGAUGGAGCUUCCCAAAACACAGCGGCAAGAAGGUAAGACCUGGGCCCACCCAAAGGGGGUGGGAAUAGAUUCCUGCUUUACACACACACACACAAAAAGUCACAGUUCUAUAAAUGAGGGGUGCCUGGGUGGCUCAGGUAAGCAUCCGACUCCUGGGUUCGGCUCAGGUCAUGACCUCAUGGUUCGUGGGGCUCAAACCCCUGGGCUGAAAGCACAGAGCCGGCUUGGGAGUCUUUGUCUUUUCUUCUCUCUCUGCUCUCACUCACUCUCUCAAAUUUUUUUUAAUGUUUAUUUUUGAGAGAGACAGGGCAUGAGUGGGGGAGGGGCAGAGAGAGGGCGACACAGAAUCUGAAGCAGGCUCCAGGCUGUCAGCACUGAGACUGAUGCUUCACAGACCGAGCCACCCAAGUGCCCCUCGAAAUAAGUAAACUUAAAAAAAAUUCUUAUAUAAAACUUCUGUAAAUGAAAACACAGCCCCUGAAAUUAAAUUCAUUAGAUAGGCUGGAAGACUUUGUGAAUUAGACGGUAAAUCUGAAAGAUGACCUAGAAUGGAGUGCACAUAAAUAAAAAAUGUGACCAACGGAUUAGGAGACACAAAUGAUAGAAGGGGACAGUUCAGCCUGUGUCCAAAAGAAGUUCCAGACGGAGAAAACAAAGCAUACUGCAAAGAGGCAAUAUUCGAAUAGUAAGUGGCGGGCGUGUUUCUAGCACUCACGAAGGGCACACAUGCUCACGCUCGGCACUCAUCAAAGUGAGAAUGACAUACCGAAGAGUAUCUUACUAAAGUGGGCAAGUGCAGAAGACAAAAGGCCUUCAACCUGAUGGAAAGACGCAUCACCUCUCGAACGCCAAGCAGGGUGGCGGGAGCCACGGGCCGCCGUGGAGUAGGCACGAGUGCGAAUGGACACGAACGGCUCUCGCUCGGGCACUGCCGGUGCAGUCACACGGUGGCCACGCCCGGUCUCUACCACGGGAGGGGAGCUGUCACCAAGCCACUGCUACACACGGAGGGCACAGGGCCAAUGGUGUGACAAGGGUCGGGGUGGGGGGGGGGGGAGAAGAAUGUCUCCGCGCAUGUGCGUACAGACCCCUCCGGAGAAUGCUGACCGAGGAGGAGGACCAGGCUGCUCGGAAAGAGAAGUGCCCAGAAACGUCGCUUCAUGCAGGUUACCUGUUUAGGUGAAAGAGUGUAAGAUGCUGGAAGGACGCACUUGAAUGCAUAACAGCAGUUACGGCGGGGAGGAGUGGAGACAGCGGGACGAAGGGGUUAAAGGUGCCCGCUCCCUCUAGUCGCGGGCACUGUCAUGCUGUUUGCGAAGCAGACUCGUUCCCGACGGGGGCACUGGGUAGGCUGGGCGGUGGCCGCACAGGCACGCUGUUCCUGUUCAAACCGUGCCGUGUCUCACACGCGCUCCUGUACAUAAACCUGGAGUUGAGAAAUCCGUACUCCUGGCACACGGGCGAGGGCCUGGAACCACCUCACACUCUCUGACUAUGGCGCGCCCCGCGGGCCCCCCUCCCCAGCGUGGGGUCUGGACCCGAGAUGCAGACAGCGUGGAGCAGACUUGGGAGACAAAGGUCUCCCUCCAUCAGCAUUUAGAGCCACUUGAGGCAUCUGUGAGAAAAGGUGGACCCCCUGGAAAAGGCAGGCUGGCAGCAGGCGACAGCUGCACCGCUUACCAACCGCAACGUGAAGAGGAAGAUUCUAGCCCCAGUACUUGUCAGCGGAUAUCUGGUUAAUAGGGGUCCAUUUCACCGUGGUGAUUUUCAUAAAGAGCUCCUCUGUUGAAUAUUUAUACUCUAUAAUUUACAGUUUGGCUGUUAGGAAGACAAAGGCAAACACAAAUUCGGCCCAGAAGUUCAAAGUUUGCCAUCUGUUUUCCUAUUGUAUUUAGAUACCAGCGUGGAUGGCUCCAAACAAAAUAAACAAAUACACCAAAAGAUGCAGCAUUUGUGUAUUUUACAUCACUAAGGAAAACAAGAACGGCCAAAACGGAUUUGAACCCCCCCCCCCCCCC